rnacentral:rRNA from 1 species
UACAGAGGUCUCAAGCGUUGUUCGGAUUCAUUGGGCGUAAAGGGUGCGUAGGCGGCGCGGUAAGUCGGGUGUGAAAUCUUGGAGCUUAACUCCGAAACUGCAUUCGAUACUGCCGUGCUUGAGGACUGGAGAGGAGACUGGAAUUUACGGUGUAGCGGUGAAAUGCGUAGAUAUCUGGAGGAACACCGGUGGCGAAGGCGGCAUCCUGGACCGACAUUGACGCUGAUCCGCGAAAGCCAGGGGAGCAAACGGG